GAAAGCUGAGAGAUAUCUCCAAUGGCGUCUUCUAAUUCCUCUAACAAUUCGAUACUUCCAGUUUCCAUUUCUCCAAGCGGCGAAGAGAAGCAGAAGGAGAGACUCAUCAAAGGAGGCGAUGAGAAGCUUUUUAGAGGAUCUGCAAUGACUAAAAGAGGAGCCUAUGCUGCAAUUUCUUAUAUGUCUUGUGCUGUGCUUUUGGUAAUGUUCAACAAAGCAGCUCUUUCUUCUUAUAACUUCCCUAGUGUGAAUGUUAUAACACUAUUUCAGAUGAUAAGUUCAUGCUCUUUUCUAUAUGCAUUGAGACGCUGGAAGAUCAUCUCUUUCACCACUGGUGAAUCUUUACCUAUUUCUGAUUUCUCAUAGCAACACUACUUUUGUACCAUUUGAGACAUAGGUAAAGAUUCACUAGCAGUGAAAGA
rnacentral:misc_RNA from 1 species